rnacentral:rRNA from 1 species
GCUUAAAAUCCAAAGGACUUGACGGUGUCCCACCCCUCUAGAGGAGCCUGUUCUAUAAUCGAUGAUCCCCGCUACACCUCACCGCUUCUUGCUUCCAUACAGCCUGUAUACCUCCGUCGUAAGCUUGCCAAGUAACUGAACCGCAGUAAGCUAAAUGACCCAUUCGUCAGCACGUCAGGUCAAGGUGCAGCCCAUGAAGCGGCAAGCAAUGGGCUACAAUUUCUAAUUUAGAACAAACGAACAACCAUAUGAAACUACGGUCACGAAGGUGGAUUUAGCAGUAAAGGGGGAUAAUAGCGCCCCCUUUAAUUAGUGGCCCUGGGACGCGUACAAACCGCCCGUCACCCUCUUCAACAGCACAUUAAUUAGUUAAUAACAACAUACCCGCGUCUUAGAGGAGGCAAGUCGUAACACGGUAAGCGUACUGGAAAGUGUGCUUGGACAAACAAAAUAUAGCUUAGAAAAGCCCCCCGCUUACACCGGGGAGACAUCUGUUAAACCCAGAUUAUUUUGAGCCCCAACUCUA